CACAUAAACGGGGUGGUGAGACAGCUUGGAUCAUGCAGAUGAGGGCCACCCCAGGGGAUGGCAGAACUAUACAAUAAAGGAGCUGAGCCUCGGAGCCACUGGCUUGGAGGGCCACCACAGAGACACAAAUUUCUACCUUGGGCCACCUAACUCCCCGUGCUACCAGCCCCUUCCGUCCUGUUGCGUCAGUUUCCAGCUGUGGUUGUUCCAGCCUCAUUGUCAUUGUCAGAACAGCAUGAUGAAAGACCUACAGCAUCUGAUGCAAGACAGUGCUCCCUCGGUGCCCUCUCACCCAACAAGCUGGCUCUGUCCCCUGUGUGAGAACCCGGCUGCCUGGCUGGGGAACAUCUGCCAGUCCCCAGAGCUCCAGAUUCUGACUUUGAAAGCAACCUUAGGUCUUUACAUGUGAAGCAGAAGAACUCUGGAGAACUCUGCACACAGGAGAAAUAUCUAGAAAGAAGUUGCUACAGCUGAUGUCAAAGAAGUUACUGCCUGUGUUCACUAGAGAAAGGAUUUAUCAUCUUGUAUCAAGUGAGUUCAAGUCAACAGGUUUUUGCUGAGCACAGUUAGGUGCUGAUGGAAUUAAAAAAAAAAAAAUUAGAAGACUCCAUCCGAAGCCACCCAAGGAGAGAAGUGUCUCUUGUGAAGAAGAGGGACACAACUAAAACAUGUAAAGAAACUGGAGGACAAGGAAGAAAAUAUGUCAUCAAGUACAAAGUUAAUGAGGCGGUACCUGAAUUAGAGCUCAGGAAACCAAGAGACAAGUGAGGCUGUGGAGUGCCACAUGGAGGCACUUGAAGAAUAUUCUAGCAGCUACUUUUGUAAACAGUAGAGGUGUCUGAGGUUUGAAAGGAGAAACACACUUGGUCAUUUUUCUGUCGGUCGGCAUUUCCUUUGAUCCCAGUAUUGGACCUGGUCACAUUCACAUGCUCUGGACCCUAACAUUUUACUCUGAUUUUCCCGAGUGCACCUCACUUCUGCCACACGCUUGCCUCGACUUCUCAGACACUGGGCUAGGACACCAACGGGAACCACCCAGCACUUGUGCGAAACUGGUGAAGUGAGGGAGAUGACACCUGGGGGCAAUCCUUGACAUGUCAGGGCUGAGAACUUGCGGGUGCCUGUUCCACUUGUGUCCCUUGAAUGGACAGUUCUGAGAGGCAUUUUUCAUGGCUCUCAGUCCCAGAAGGAACAGGCCCCAGUUUCUCACAGCAGUGACCAAACUUGAUAACAAACUCUUUACCAACUGGCUUUGCCGCUUGUCUUGUUUUCCUUCUUCCCUAUCCCCCACUCCCAUUCGCUGACCUCAUUUCCCAAACCACCUGCAUACAAACCCUUGUCUUAUGCCCUAUUUCUGAUAGGAACCCUGGUAUAAACAAUCUCCUAGAGAGAUAAUGGUUUCUGGUUCCUGAUAUUUUAUGCUCAAUUUGCAGGGAACUCUGACACAGGCCUUCUCCCCCAAGCACACUCAUCUCAGGAAGGUUCAAACCAAAAUGCACUGUGUGCUUCAUCUGAGGUUUUGCCAAAGCCAAGAUUAUAAUUCCCAAAGGCCCAGGAUAUGAGGACGAGGAGCAGAAGGGAGUAUUUUAUAUUUCCCAAGUCCCUGUUAUGUGCCACUACUGUGCUAUAUGUUUGUAUCUUAUCAGCUGUUACAUAAACCUGAUGAGGUGGGUAGAAUCUUUUUUUUUUUUUUUUUUUUGUAAGAAAUGAGGAAACUGCUCAGCAAGCAAGAAGUGACAGAAUCAGGAUUUGAAUUCAAGUCUGACUCUCAAGUCCAUAUUUUGCCCACUUACCUGAUGUUUUCUCCCACGUACUAAUUCAUGCCUGGGGUCAGGUGCCUGUUUCUCAACAGCGUCAGGGGUCUUCAUCUUUCAGUUUUGUCAGUUUGGGAACUCGAAAUCAGUGAUCUGCAUCAAUUAGGUGGCAUUUUAAUCUCUCCAGGUUGUGGCAUAGAGUUGUCCCUUUAAGCAAGAGAGAAAGUUCAGAACAUAGAAAGCUGCUUAUGUCUGUAUGCUACACCCAGGGAUUUAAAGCCGGCUUCAGUUUGGCUCUGAGAAAUGCAAGGCACCUGUCUGGCCAGUAAUGAACACAGAACGUGAGUCAGACCUAUCAUGGCUCGGGGCUCAAUGCUGAACACACAGUAGGUACACAAGAAACAUUUGCCAAACUACCCGUGAGCUCUGAGAGCCAAGGCUCCGCUUCCCUCCGAGUGCCUGCCAAAAGUAAAUUGUUGGGGGCCACGUAAUACAUCUCUAUGCUCUCUACACCGAGCCCUACUUGUACCUUUUACAUGCCAGAUCCCAGAAUAACAGGGAUCUAAACACAUUUACCGAAGUCACACAGUAGCAUUUUGAGACUGAGAACCGCCGGCCUCCUUUGUGAUCACAUAGCUUCUUAACCCACAGCUCUUUGAGCUGCCACUGUUUAUAUUGCUCAUGCAGGAUUAACCAGAUCCCCACUGCUUUGUGCCAUCCUCUGUGCUCUUCCUGUUUUUGUGUUUAUUUACUAAUUGGCUGGCUCUAGUUGUUUCCUAUUGAUUUACAAUUCAACUCAGAAAAAGUGAUUUAAGUGUAGAGUAUUGAAGGCUUGGAUCUAUAUUCUUACACAGCUUCUUUGGUCAGAGACCAUGUCGUCUCUGGGAAUAUCCACUCACCUAGCAUUUCCCAACCUUGGUGAAGAAGAGAUCAGAAUCAUUAAACCUCCCAGAGUAGACAAUGCCACAUUCAUCCAUUCACUUAUUGAGACAGAAUACAUUAUUUCUACACAAAGAAAAGUAGGGGGGCAUGUGGCUGCCUCAGUUGGUAGAGCACACAACUCAGUCUCUGGGUCGUGAGUUCAAGCCUCACGCUGAGUGUGGAGUCUACUUAAAAUACAAUAAAAAAAAUUUUUUUAAGUCUAAAAAUAAAGACAAGUAGGGACUUUAAUCCAUUUUCUUGAGCACCAGGAUGCCACAGAGUUAGGACUCUAUGCAGUGUUUCUCAAACUGCAGUCCCUUCGACCAACUGCAUCAGAAUUCCCUGCCAUGAUUAUAAAUAUAGAUUCCUGGACUCUUUCUCAGACUUAAUGUAACAGAACUUGGUUAUUGGUUUUUUACCAGGUUAUUAUUAACCAGGAGAUUCUCAUCACACUAAAGUUUAAGACCCCCCCAAGAUCUAUGAGGACUUACAUGCCCUACAUGGCCAAACAAAGAUUUCAUUAGUGGACAUCACCUAUGCCUUGUCCAGUUCAGAGCCCUCAGGCAAGUUCUGGCACUGUAUCACUUAAUCUUCCUUCAUUACAUGAAUUUAAGUCAAUGAAUUGGUAGGGGUGAAAAGAAACUAAGAGAAGAAAAAUCAAGGUACUACAAUCCAAGAAAUUCACUGAUGAACUCAGGAGGAAAUUGCCCCAAGAAUAAACCAUGACAGUUAAGUUACAGAAAACACAUAUUUCCAACUAUUUCCCACAUCUGUGUAUGGCCUUCAAUAACUUCCUGCAGGUAUCCCCUUUUGGCUCCAAAACUGUAGUUAUCCAACUUAUACUCUGGAAACAGGGAGGAGUUAACCCAAUUGUCUAAUUUCCAUUAGGAAUGCAGGAGAAAUUUGGCUUUAUCUCCAAGCUAUGUGUUAUAAUAACACCAUUUUACAAUUUACAAUUGCAAAGUAAUUUAUGGUUUCUAACAUCUUUUAAGGAUAAUACCCCACUUAAACUUUGCAUUGUUAGAAAUACCCAAAUUAUAAUGUAUACACUAAUAAGGUUAACAGCAAGCCAGGAUUUGGUUGUCUCCUCAAGUAGUUUUUUAUUUUUUUUUAUUUUUUUAAAUGUUUAUUUUUGAGAGAGAGAGAGAGAGAGAGAGAGAGAAAAGGGGAAGAGAGAGAGGGAGACACAGAAUCUGAAGCAGGCUCCAGCCUCGGAGCUGUCAGCACAGAGCCCAACUUGGGGCUCAAGCUUGUGAACCACGAGAUCAUGACCUGAGUUAAAGUCAGAUGCUUAGCUGACUGAGCCACCCAGGUGACCCUCAAAUAAUUUCUUUUCAACACAAUGAGGUCUUGAAAACAAGAUGAGAAGACAUUCUUCAGCAAGGAUGGAGAAACAUGCAAACUCUGACUCAUAGUCUGAGUUUCCCAAGACAACAUCAAUGUCCAGACAUGUACUCAAUGACAGAAAAAAAAACAAAAAAACAAAAACCUGAUGAUUUGCCAGAAUGAAAAUUAGCUCCUCUGAUUCAGUGGGUUUGAGUGUAUAAAUUUUGUUAAUAAAAUCACCUGCUAUAGAUCAGAUUCCAGGAGACCUAUCAUGUCUUAAAUCAUUUCCUGAAUUUAUUCAAAUCUGCCUGUUGAAGAAAGGUUCACUCUCAUGCAUAAUGCCUUUGACCACAAAUAAAGUCUCUGCCAUCUGUUUUCACACUAGGAAAACACUAUUUGGAUUCAGUGAUGAAAUAAAAAAAAAAUCCUAUUCACAUAAAUCCAA